rnacentral:tRNA from 1 species
GCGGCCUGUGGCGUUGAGUGGAGAAGCGCUCAUGCAACUUUGCCAAGGUUGGGGUCGAGGGUUCGAAUCCCUUCGCCCGCUCCA